rnacentral:misc_RNA from 1 species
UCAUUAUAAUUACUCCUUUAUUCAGGUAAUUGCGUUCUUGGUCUCGAAAUGGGAAACAGUCAGACGAUCAGAGGCUACAGUCUUCAGACGUUUGCAAGUUUUGAGGCUGGACAAUGAAACCAAGGAACAUCGAAGCUACGUGUCAGUUUUAUCUUAAUGUGGAUGAAGCGUCUCAAUGAAAAAUGCAGAAAAAUCGUUGGGGUUCUCCGUUCGAUUCGCGAUGCUGCUCUUUGACAGAACUUCGCACGUUAUGUCCAUUUUGUCGCAUUUCUGAACGGAAAAAUGGAGAUCUCUCGACGAGUAUCAGGAAUUGCUCGGUCCAGUCGACACGCUCGUUUUCCUGAAGCCGUAAUAUAGACGUAGAAAUAUCAAGAUAUUCCGAUGGUUUCGGGUCGUGGCACAAUUGACUCGACGAAUUUAAGUCCAAUUUAUCCAACGGCCGGUCGAUUGAUGAGCUAAUUAUUCAUCAAUUAUUCGCUGUUGGGAGCACAAAAAUGAUAAGA